GGGAAUGUGGCUUAGCGGUGAAGUGCUUGCCUAGCAUGCAUGAAGUCCUGGGUUCAAUUCCUCAGUACCA
rnacentral:tRNA from 1 species